UACGGAGGGGACUAGCGUUGUUCGGAAUUACUGGGCGUAAAGCGCACGUAGGCGGAUUGUUAAGUCAGGGGUGAAAUCCCGAGGCUCAACCUCGGAACUGCCUUUGAUACUGGCAAUCUCGAGUCCGGAAGAGGUGAGUGGAAUUCCUAGUGUAGAGGUGGAAUUCGUAGAUAUUAGGAAGAACACCAGUGGCGAAGGCGGCUUACUGGUCCGGUACUGACGCUGAGGUGCGAAAGCGUGGGGAGCAAACAGG
rnacentral:rRNA from 1 species